UCCGGGGGGGGCAAGCGUUGUUCGGAAUUACUGGGCGUAAAGGGCUCGUAGGUGGCCAACUAAGUCGGACGUGAAAUCCCUCAGCUUAACUGGGGAACUGCGUCCGAUACUGGAUGGCUUGAGUUUGGGAGAGGGAUGCGGAAUUCCUGGUGUAGCGGUGAAAUGCGCAGAUAUCAGGAAGAACACCCGUGGCUAAGGCGGCUCUCUAGUACGGUACUGACGCUGAGACGCGAAAGCGUGGGGAGCGAACAGG
rnacentral:rRNA from 1 species